rnacentral:rRNA from 1 species
UACAGAGGGGGCAAGCGUUGUUCGGAAUUACUGGGCGUAAAGGGCGCGUAGGCGGCCUUCUAAGUCGAACGUGAAAUCCCCGGGCUCAACCCGGGAACUGCGUCCGAUACUGGAAGGCUUGAAUUCGGGAGAGGGAUGCGGAAUUCCAGGUGUAGCGGUGAAAUGCGUAGAUAUCUGGAGGAACACCGGAGGCGAAGGCGCCUGCCUGGACGACUAUUGACGCUGAGGCGCGAAAGCGUGGGGAGCAAACAGG